CUCCCGAAUUUCUAGGAAUGCCCCUUCCCUGUUACUAUAUUUGGAGGUAGCUUCUAGGAAAAAAAUAAUUUUCAGACGGUCUUGGACUCACCACACCUACUAUACAAGGACCCACUUCACAUAAGAUUCUCUGACAAGGACCCUAAAGGAGUUUAGAAGCCAAAUGACUGGGAUCAUCAACUCCAGUGACAGAGCUGCAUGUCUUUGUAGCAGUGUUGCAGAAAUGAGCAUGGAGAGGGAAUAGGAAAGGGAAGAGAGGUGUCUUUGUGGCAACGAGUGACUCUUCUCUAGUUAUCUCCUGGUUGCUGGGUUUUCCCCCCUGCACUUUCUUUUGCAGUUGAACGGAAAAUGAUUGUUUGAAAAUUAUUAAUAAAUCCUCCUUUUUUCUUCUUCUCUUUUUUACCCUCCCUCCCACCCCCCUUGAUGUGGCCUCUUGUUUAGCUUGUGGCGUGACCAUGAUGAAGAAAUUUUUCUGGGAGCCUGGCAGUGUGAUCUUUUUAUGUAAUGAGUCAGGAUUUUGCCAAGGGAAGGAGCAAGGUUUGAGGAUUGAGUGUCUGUCUCCUUUCAAGAAGAAAACUGACAGGCGAGAUGCACCUUUUUCCCAGGAUCCUUUUUUCCCCUCCCCACCUCACAGGAAUGACAAGUGGCAUUUUUGAAAAUUUUCGCUGAAGGAUCUUAACCAAAGGAAAAAGUACUGUAAAGGGGAUGGAUCACUUGAUGAUUACCUGUUUUGUUUAUUCCUCUGGGGCACCUGACACUGGCCACCGUCAGAAGACAGGAUACUGGGCUAGAUGGACCUUUGGUCUGAUCCAGUAGGGCCAUUCUUACGUUACAUAAAUCUUAGCUAAUAGAUAUAAAUUGGGGUGGGUCUAAUAAUUUACUAUAUUAUUCUGUGUGAAUUCUGAGUUGUUUACAUGUGCUAUAAAAGAAGUUGGAAAAUACUGCUUUACUGUGUAGUAAAAAAGUCAUGAGACAUCAUAACAAACAGUAAGCUCUGGUAGCCCUUCCUGUUUUUCAGUAAGCAAAGAGAAUGUGCAAUGUGACUUGGUUAUGCUGUCCUGUUUUAGCUGUCAGAAAAGUUAGCCAUUUUUAGCAAAUAACCAUUCAGUUAAUUGGGCAUAUCUUUUAAAGAAAUUUUACUUAAAAAUUGACCUCUGAAGAUUGUGGUUCCAGAGUCGGGGUUUUGGGGGCGAGAUGAGCUUAUUUUUAUCCAACUGGCCCACAAAGUCCCGCUUUUGGUGGUCACUUUGUUCUGCAAAAGAAACCUGUACUUUAUAACUUUUACAGAGGACAGUAAACUAAUGCUACGCUAUUACUGCAUUUGGUUCAAGAAUACUACACAUAUUAAAUAAAUAAUAAUAGUUUAACUUUAUUAUUGUUGUCAAUGUAGUAAAUGGGUAGAAAAUGCUUCUACCUCUUGGGAAUGAAACAGAAGGAAAUCUUUUUUAAUUGUUGACAUGGUUUGUAAAAGCUGCUUUCUUUUCAAAAAACAGUAAAAGCCUAUUGAAAAAAAGUUCAAAGUUUUCGCCCAGUUACUGAAUAAGAUCCAAAAAGUGACCAUUUAAAAGAAGAGAAUUUAGGCAAAAAGCAAAGCUGUUCUUAGAACACUAACAAUUACAGGUUAAAACUUUUUUAAAAUCCUGUAAUUAUUAACAUUUACACUAUUGUUUAAACUUGUUCACAAAACGCACCUCUCUCAAAUUAAUAUCUUGAUGCAGCCUGAGUGUGUUUGUGUAUAUACAUAAAACAUAGAUUGUUGGCUAUUGUAUGACAUUAGCUGUAAAACAUAUUUUCAAGGUAAAUACACAAUACAUUUGCAAUUUGUAAAAAUUCCCAAAUCCAUUCAGCUACUUGCUGUUUGAUAUUGAUAUCUUUAAAAAAAAAAAACUGGGAUUCUAAUAAACCCUUAAGAUUCAUUAGUAGAAAAGUUAUCUUUUUUGCAGCGCUGAAUAUAUACUACAUAGGUUUAAGAAGUAAAGAAACAAGUUACAAAAUAUCUAAGUUUAUAGGAGAUUAUUUACAUGCUAUGUAUGUACAGAAUACACACACACACAUGCAGGCAGAUCCUCAGCUGGUAUAAAUGAUCAUAUCUCCAUAUUUAUACCAUCUGAGGAUCUGUCUCAUACUGUACACAAAAGAUUAAUGUAUUUAUGCGUUGUCAUAUGCUGAGGUCAGAGUUAUUUAUUUCAGUUGCUGAUUUUGUAUGCACCACUUAAGAUUUUCUAGUAGAAAAGUUGAAUAUCCUUUUAAAAGGCCUGGUAAAUCAUCAACAUUUGUGCAGUGAUAUACUGUUAAGAUAAAGCUGUUGAUAUGUGCAUAUUAUUUGAUUACAGAUAAGAUUUGCAUACUCAGUCAAAUAGAAUAUUUUGCUAAAUGAAGGAACUACACUAAUACUUCAUGGAAAAGUAGAUAGCUAUAUAGUAUUCUCUAUACAUGUGUAUGAGAGUUAUAAGAAAGAGAUCCCCACUCCAUAUAUAAUAAAUGGAUCAACGUAGGUUUAAGACUGAAAGGAUUACUGAAAGAGAUAUAGGACAGAAUUUUACAUUAUUCGAUACCUUUUAGCUGUUACUUAAUAUGAAAGCUUUUGUUGUUUAAUAGUAGCAUUUAUGGUAACACUUUAAUUUUUCCUGUCCCCUUAUAUGUUUAACUGUAGAUAAAUAUAUUUAACUAGUUUUCCAUUAAAGUACACCUCUAACUCGAUAUAACGCUGUCCCUGGGAGCCAAAAAAUCUUACCGCGUUAUAGGUGAAACCGUGUUAUAUUGAAGUUGCUUUGAUCCACCAGCGUGCGCAGCCCCACCCCCCAGAGCACUGCUUUACCGCGUUAUAUCCAAAUUUGUGUUAUUUUGGGUGGCAUUAUAUCGAGAUAGCGGUGUACUUAAAAAUUAUGCUAGUGAAUACAUUACAGUCAAAUGCAAUAUUUUGUGUCACUGUUUUCAGACUGUGCUUGGUGGACCUCCAAUUGUUUCUUGGAAAAUACUUCGAGAAGUGAGGACUAGAGCAUUGCAAAGUUCAGAAGAAAAGUUAGUCUACUAGAAAAUCUUGAUCUUAUAAAGUGGGAAAUAAGAACAAAAUGUAGCGAAGCUCUCCAAAGAGCAUUAGGAAUCAACUAUUUUCUGAUAAAAUUUAGCAGUAAUUUCUCUCCAGACAGUGAAAUCCAACUUUUAUUUAAAAGCUCUGAGAAUUGAAAUAUUUAUCUUUAUAAUGCUAAAUGCAUUCAGUAAAAUGUUUCCAUUCUUAUGCAUAACGUUUUGUUACCCAGCUAUAUUUUUGCAAUUUUUAAGAUAGAUUUUAAUUUAGUUUUUUAUUGAUAGUACACAGAUUCCAUGUAUAAUCUUCCUAGCAGCAUUCAGCUAAAUAUAAAAUAAGUAGAGUGUUUAAAUGAAUAUACUUAAAUUCUAAAAUGUCAACAAGCAUAAAGAUAUGAGUCUAACCCUGAAGGCCUUCCUCAUCCAAAAUUCCCAUUGACUUAUUUUUUCCAUUAGUAAGGACUACAGGUGCAGACGUUGUCUGUUUCCAGUGUAUAUUAAAAUCAUAGAUUCAGAUGUCAAACAAAUAUACUAAACACCAAAUCUCUAUUUUAAUUAAGUUUGUAACCCAAACCAGUGACACCCAGGUAAUACAGUGAUGGAUACCAUGAAAUGCUUGUAAUAAAAAUUAAAUUGCAGCUUUGCCCCUUCACUCAUGCUGUAAUGCCUUUUUAUCCUAUAAGGCACAAGUGAAGGGUGGAAUGUCAGCCUUCACUCUCACUUUCCUAGGACUUAUUUUGUGUUCUGAGCUUUAAUAAUUAAAGAUCAUAGGCCAAUGUCUUUAUUUUGCUGUUUAAAAUGAGAAAAUGUAUUUUAUGGAAGAUAAAACACUUAUAUGCUUAAAACGAUUGUUUGCAAUAAAAAAUAAUGUAUUUAAAAUCAAA